UUUGCUUAUUCUAAGAUCUAUUAUAUAAAAGACAAUUUGUUCUCUUCUCCUUAGGACAUCUAAGGGCACCCCGACUCUUAAGGGGUUUUAAGAGGUAUGAGACCCACAAAAAACUAAAAUCCACCCUUUAUUCCUCUUCUGCAAGAGGCGAGUUUGGUGGAGUUUUUGUACUGUUUGCGGGUCUUACUGACACGUGGCGGUCCGCGAUUGGUCCGUUUUUAAUUUUUAAUUUUUUUUACUCGGAAAAAAAAAACCUAAGAACCCACAACCCCCCCCUAAGCGUUAAUCAUGCUCUAAGAUUCUACCUAGAUAAAUUGAGCUCUACACGUGUCACAGAAAAUUGAAACUCGGCGUUUCAUUUAAUGGGAUGUGUAAUGGAUUUGGACUUCAGUUUGUAUACAUGCUUUAUGUUUUGGCUUGAUGGACCCAAACAGAAUAAAGAGCAACUUGAUAUGUAAUGAAACACGACGUUUUUGAUUUAGGGCUGGACUUCUUUAUCUCCGCCGUACGAGAGUGAUCUUUGGUUUCCAAAGCGUUCUUUCAUCUUCAUCCUGAGAGGCAACUGUUCAUCCUCUUAAAGUCGUUGCUUAAAUCUAUUACCCACGAUCUCUCGUCCGACGCGGUGGCGAACUUAUGGGAAUCGAUAUGAUGCUACUUGAUUAACAGGCGACCAUGAAAACGUAUUCGUUUUGUUUUGGCGACAGAGCGCAAGAAUACAGAGGUUGAAUUCUCCUUCUCGGUUAAGAAUCUUGCAAACUAUGAUUCUGAUGUCUCGGAGGUACUGAUAAAGAAGAGAGACAAAGGUUUCCACACAGUAAGCAUUGAUCUUUAUGCUUUGCUUGCGCAAAAAAUUAUGGUAGAGUAGAUGAUCAAUAUUAUAGUCUCUAAGACGCAUGCAUUAGACAUGUAUAAGAAAUUGCUUUUUUUAAUUAAUACUUUUUUCACGA